ensembl:lncRNA
GGAGAAUGUAUUGAAUCCUAUGGAAUUCAGGAUAUCAUUUCUGAUCCCUAUCCUCAGAUUAGUUGAGUAAGCACCUUUGCUCAGCUGAAAAUGACUCACUCAGAUCUUGUGACCUGGCCUGAAGUAGCGAGAGCCCUCUGCCUCACAUUCUUCAGGAAAUGAAUGAUGCUGCAAUCAAAACUCGGCUGGAAGUAAAGCAGGGUGGGGGUGAGGGGGCUUUGACAGAUAGAGAAAAGAAAUUUAGCUGUGGCAGAUUCACAUCCCAGGCAGACAGCGGGCAGUUGUAGAUGGUCCCCCAUACACGAGGGAGCAUCCAGAUGCCAGGUCCUGCCACAGGGGCCACAAGGAAGUGGAGUGUGUCCACACAUUCACGUCACCGCUCACCUCAGUCAUCUGGGUGCUAAUGGAUACCGACUCAACAGACUUCCUCGAGGGGUUUCAAAAAAAGGAGAAACAGAACACACAGUGAACACCGAACUCCAUUUCCCACAAGGUCUGGCGGUUCAACUGGAAAACAACAACGAGCUUGACAACACCACAAAUCAUGGCUGACAGCGAGUUACCCAGGUCAAGCUGUGCAGCUCAGUGUCGCAAAUCAUGUCUCCAAACCCCUGCUGUGUUAACCACCACUACGUACAUCAAAUAUCCAGAGUCAACCCAUCCCUGCCCUCUUGACCUUGAUCUCUGCUUCAUGCUUUGGAUUUGUUUGUUUGCUGACAGUUCUAUUUAAAUAAAAGCAUUCUUAC